rnacentral:tRNA from 1 species
AGAUUUUGAGUUAAUAAAAACUAAAAACCUUCAAAGUUUUAAAUAAAAAAAAAUUUUUAAUCUUA